AUGAGCGUCGAAGACACCCCACGUGGGGCGUGCUGACCGUUUCCUGAUUGGAGGGUUUAGGUAGCACAGCGCUCCGCACGUCAAUCAAACAAGGCUACAACUGCUCUGCGAGGUUAACCCUUUCCUGGGUGCAGAAGCAAGGCAAGGGAAGGGAGUGAUUGAGGAUGUGUGGUAGCUGUAUCAAGAUUCAGUGGUUUUCUCUUUUUUUUUUCUCCCCCCCACACAAACCAUCAAUGCAUUGAAAAAUCUUAAAUUCUUUCCCCCCAAUUCGUCCUUGUUGAUGUGGAAAUAAAUAGACUCUGCUGCUCAUUUCUAGAUGUCAAAAAUUAAUCAUGACCACAGGGAGCUGACCAAACAUGAAAUACAUCUAAAUCAGAGCCGGUGCAGAAACACAACGGUGAUAAUGCUGCAACCAAGGCCGGCUCUAGCCUCUUUUUAGUGUCCGAGGCGAAGUUCGGCUUCCCGGGUUCAAUAGAGAGCGACUCCUGGUCUUUUUUUAUCAGCCGGGGAGCAAAAGAAUGAGCGAAACCCGUCGCACACAGACAGACAUCGUAACUUCAGAGAGAGAGAGACAUCACUUACGCAAAUUUUGGGUGUGUGGUCUUUCUAAUUACGUAUUUUCAAAGUCUGAUACUUCCACAGCUUUUAAACAAACAGCCUCUUUCGUGACUUGCAAAAUUAUCUUUUAAAUGAACAAAUAUGUGUGAUUAAUGGUGCAAUUCAAACAGGAUCAAAAAAAUAUUUGUCUCACAUCGUUGACUACCGUUUAUAUUUUUUUCAGAAAUAAGGCCCCGUGAUGGUACACCGGAGGGAGCUCGACUACACCUCUCUAUCCUCCAGAACCCUAGUCCUAAACCGCAACACACAGCGGACAUCACAAUGGUUUUCAGACAAAAAUUAAGAUUUUUAUUUUCAUAAAUAACUGUAUUUAUCAGCUGGACCACAGAGGGCCAGCCCUACAAACGCAAAAGUCUGUCACUGAGUGAUGAAGUUACACGAUUGGUCAGCCAAGUGUUGGCGUUUCCUCAUUGGCCGUUGCUCCUUCAAAAUAAAAAGGCAGGGAGCAGUCCUUUUAGGCAAAC